rnacentral:rRNA from 1 species
CCCUCUGGGGUGCAGCCCAAUUAUUUUGGUAGGUAUCGAUCUCUCGUUUCCGGGAGAUCGUCGUUAUUCCCAGGGUGCGGUACAAAACGAUUUGCAACCGCCGCAAGAGAAUCCCGAUUCGCUUUGUGAGGUUCCCGCCAACGAUGGAUCGAUGGUGAAAACCCCCUUGCAGUUUCGCAUGUUCCGCGAUUCACUUUCGAAGAUAAUCCACGAAACGCAUGGCAAUGUUGUCACGACGUCUCUCCACGGCGCGCAGAUUCCGGGCUUCCCGUAUCGAUCGCUGGAUGAAAUGCUUUCCGGGAUUUCCACAAAACCGAUCGACCGCCGCUUCCUUUGGGAUUUGUUGUCGCCCAAUCUCUCCAACCGGCGCAAGGAGUUAUGCGAUGAACUGUUGGCGAUAAAGGAGGAAUUGGCGGGGGGGC